ACCUGGUAUUCCUAUUUUAAUUUUAAAAAUGAAAGCAAAAGACUGAUUUGUCCAGAUUACUCUGUUGAUUUGAAGAGUAUUUUUUUCCAGUUCUCACACUCAGUAUAACGGUGAUUGAUAGCACAUGCUCCCAGUGUCCAUCCUCUCCUGAACAUAAAAAGCUUUUAAAGACCAAAUAAAGGAGAAAUUUAAACAGAGGCAUCCUAUGAGCAAACAAAAAUGCAUGAAAAUGCUUUGGAUAAAGAAUUUACCUAUUUAUCAAAAUGCUUUGGAUAAAAUAUUUAACUAUUUUAUUUCACUUGUCAAAAAUACUUUGAUUAUGAUAAUAGAACAGCACUGAAUUAAACUCACACAAUUCCAGUGGUAUUGGAAGCAUCCUGAAGAUUUUGACAUGGGAUCCUUUUUUUACAAUGUGUUUUUGAGACUAUCUGAUACUGGAGCAGUGAAUAUCAUUUCCUUAAUAAAAGUGCUUUUCAUAAUUAUUUUGGUAGGCUAUUUUUGACAAGUUCGCUUAAUUGAAAAUUAUUUCCAAAGAGUGUAUUUUAAAAGUGGCACAUUUGUAUUUUCUUGUUGCGAGAAGUUCAAGUCAUGAAAAUAUUUAGUAUUAAAAAUUACUCAUGACUGCUUUAGCAGAAUAAUUUUUGUCCAGGAGCCUGUUUAAGACAAAGUUUGAGUGUUGUCCAGUCUGUCUCAGCUGUGUUCCUCACAGACAGUGACUGUGGCAUUUUCAGUGCUCUGCUGGGUGGCCAAAAAACACCUGUAAACAAGAUUUUGGAGACACCAUUUCCAACCCUUCAUUGAAACUCCCAUUUCCAUGUUUUGUAGGUCACAAAAGAUCCUUUUUUUUUUUUUUUUCCAGGGAUACUGCAGCCAAGAAGCCAACAGAAAGCUUUGCUGAAGUGUUUACAUGCAGAAAAGAGAAAAAAACCCCAGCAGAAUAAAGUGCAAGCCGACGCCAACAAACUGUAUUUGGUACAGUACAGCCUGUUGCUCACAGCUGCAUUCAGCAGGGAAGAAAACAUUUUGCUGGGUCCAAGGACUCCCUGCACAGGAAUGGGCUCCCUGCAGGGAUGAUGCACAGUGCCGCACAAGCACUUCACUGGUCACAAGUGAAAUACAGGAUCAGAUGGCAGCUGCUCAGUGUUGGUCUCCCCUUUUAAUGUGCAUGUGGGUUGCAGAGUCUUCAUCCUUGGAGAUAGUAUAGACAUGGUCCUGGAUCACCUGUCCUCUCUGACCCUGCUUGGGCCGGGCAGUCAGACCAGAUGAUCUCCAGAGGUCCCUUCCAACCUCAGCCAUUCUGUGAUUCCGUGAUCUUCACUAACAAGAAUGAUAUGUGAUGUUGCAAGAAUGUGCUACUAAUCACUUACAACUGAAUAUUGUGCAUGUGAUGUGCAAUAAAAAGGAAGCUAAGUAUUUUUAACAAGAACCUCCCCCCCCCACAUCCCCAAAGAGAUAACUGGGAUAGUUUAAGCAAUACUUACUUAUUAAAUUCUGAUUUCCUAAGAAGUGUCUUUCAGUUGAAGGCCUGAAUGUAUUUUAAAUGCUGUAAGACUAAAGAAAAUUUUUUCUUGCCUAAGUUCUCUAAGUCUUUAUUUGAUGACAAGUAGACAAAACAAAUUGAUGGUCCAUCAAGGCAUACAUGAUCUCACAUGUAACAGGCAACAAAACAGCCACUGCUCACCCCUACUCUUCUCUGUGCGUUUUACGAGGAAGGAAUCCACAACAAAAGGAACUGAACUUGUCUUUAGAAAGUUUCUAUCUCAAUCAUCAAUGGGGCUUUUCCUUUUUCCUGGCUAGUGAAUCUGUGUAAGAUCAAAACCA
rnacentral:lncRNA from 13 species